UACGGAGGGUUCGAGCGUUGUCCGGAAUUAUUGGGUUUAAAGGGUACGUAGGCGGUAUGAUAAGUCAGUGGUGAAAUAUUACAGCUUAACUGUGAGGGUGCCACUGAUACUGUCAUGCUAGAGAUCUGAAGAGGUAGGCGGAAUUACUUAUGUAGCGGUGAAAUGCAUAGAUAUAAGUAGGAACACCAAAUGCGAAGGCAGCUUACUGGUCAGAAUCUGACGCUGAUGUACGAAAGUGUGGGUAGCGAACAGG
rnacentral:rRNA from 1 species